rnacentral:rRNA from 1 species
GACGAACGCUGGCGGCGUGCCUAAUACAUGCAAGUCGAACGCAGUGGGGACGGGUGAGUAACACGUGGGUAACCUCCCAUCAGAGGGGAUAACACUUGGAAACAGGUGCUAAACCGAUACUGAUGGAUGGACCCGCGGUGCAUUAGCUAGUUGGUGAGGUAACGGCUCACCAAGGCCACGAUGCAUAGCCGACCUGAGAGGGGAAACACCCCCCGUUGGACUGAGAAACGGCCCAGACUCCACCCAUAUUCACCAAUACAUAAUCUUCAGCAAUGAACGAAAGUCUGACCGAGCAACGCCGAGUGAGUGAAGAAUAUUUUCGGAUCUUAACACCCUGUUGGUGGAGAAGCGGUAUCUAACCAGAAAGCCACGGCUAACUACGUGCCAGCCGCCGCGGUAAUUC